UCAUCCUGCUGCUGUUGUUUUUUCCCGUUUCUGCUAUUGUGUUUCCCUGCGCCUGCCGUGUUCACCUGUUCCAGCCGUUGAUCCUAAUAUACUUCAUCCAUUCUUCAUCAUGACACAACUGCCAACAGCACAGGACAGGCUGCAUGGGGAUCUAAAUUUCUGUAAAGAAAUGAUCAACAAUCAAAAAACAGAAAAAAAGGAAGAAGCCAUUUCAGAGAGAACUCUAGGGGCUGUAGAAGCCACUGCAGCAGCGAUGGAGGACAUCAGGCAAACUGAGCCAACUGUCUCUACAGUUACUGACAGUGUGCAGAGAGGAUGUUGUUCUGGAAGAGAAGAUAUGGCCACAAGCGAACAUCUAACAGAGUUUGUAUUGAGAUCUUUCUCUUAGCUUUACUCUACAUUCUUUUAAAUCAUUUUUUUUAAAUGGCAGGAAAAGAAGUGAGAUAGAGAAAUCAUUGUCUGUCAGUGUAAAAACAAGUGUACAACAGAAGAAUUGGGAAAUUCUAAUGAGUGGGGCGCAGUUGGUUUUACUUUGGAGACAGACAGCUAAGAAGAAAUUGAAGGUUUGAUUUGAAAAAGACCCUGCUGUCAAAUAACUUGCAUAACUGCUAAUAUUUUAAUGCUCUAAUUCCUGAUAACAUCUCAUCAUUUCAUUGAGACUGUCUUGCUCUUGAAGAUGUUGGAAAGCUCUUUUCUUCAAAUGAGAAAGAAACGUGUGCUGUGACAAGGACGCUGAUGGAAUGAAUAGAGAGGAUCCUCACACACGCUUACUUUGCUGCCUGUACAGAGUGUGUGUUUUCUUUUUUUUUGGUUUUGUUUUCUAUUUGCUUUGGUUUAGCUUGGAGUGAGAUCACUGUGCAGAGUCUCUCUGCCAGUUGUGCUGCCAGCAGCCGUUAGACAGUUAUCAGGGCAGAGAGUGUGAAAUUAUCUCUCGCCAUGGUGAUUGUCCGCUCGCUCCGUCUCGUGCUUCGCUGCAACAUCUAAUUAGCACCUUGCUGAUGCUCUGUGUCACCACGGAGAUACUGUACAGCCAAAGAGAGACUGACAGAGAGGGGACUGAUUCUCCAGAAGCCACAACACUGCAUGCUCAAGUUUACCAGUCAAACAAUGUCACAGAGCAAUGCUUUUGACCUUUUAUCAUCUUAACAAAAACACAGCAGUUCAAUAUUCUUUCAGGUAUGUUUCUUUCAAGUUGUUAAACCAAACCCAAAUUGUUGACUGUAUCUUUGUGCAGUUGAGG